rnacentral:tRNA from 1 species
UGUUGGUAGUAUACAACGUACAUCUGCCUUCCAAGUAGAAAGCCCAACUUCAAGGCCAACAUA